UGGGGAAUUUUGGACAAUGGGCGAAAGCCUGAUCCAGCCAUGCCGCGUGAGUGAAGAAGGCCUUCGGGUUGUAAAGCUCUUUUAGUCGGAAAGAAAGAGUUGCAAUGAAUAAUUGUGAUUUAUGACGGUACCGACAGAAAAAGCACCGGCUAACUACGUGCCAGCAGCCGCGGUAAUACGUAGGGUGCGAGCGUUAAUCGGAAUUACUGGGCGUAAAGGGUGCGCAGGCGGUCUUGCAAGUCAGACGUGAAAGCCCCGGGCUUAACCUGGGAAUUGCGUUUGAAACUACAAGGCUAGAGUGCAGCAGAGGGGAGUGGAAUUCCAUGUGUAGCAGUGAAAUGCGUAGAGAUGUGGAAGAACACCGAUGGCGAAGGCAGCUCCCUGGGUUGACACUGACGCUCAUGCACGAAAGCGUGGGGAGCAAACA
rnacentral:rRNA from 1 species